AUUGAACGCUGGCGGCAGGCUUAUCACAUGCACGUCGAGCGAGCGGCGGACGGGUGAGUAAUGUCUGGGAAACUGCCUGAUGGUGGGGGAUCACUACUGGAAACGGUAGCUAAUACCGCAUACCAUCAGUUGUGCCCAGAUGGGAGUAGCUGGUGGGUGGGGUAAUGGCUCACCUGGGCGCCGAUCCCCAGCUGGUCUGAGCGGAUGACCAGCCACACGGGAACGGAGACACGGUUCAGACGCCUACGGGAGGCAGCAGUGGGGAAUAUGGCACAAUGGGCGCAAGCCUGAUGCAGCCAUUCCGCGUGUGUGAAGAAGGCCUUCGGGUUGUAAAGCACUUUCAGCGAGGAGGCGUUACUCGCAGAAGAAGCACCGGCUAACUCCGUGCCAGCAGCCGCGCUAAUAC
rnacentral:rRNA from 1 species